AAUGGGUCAGCGACUUAUAUUCUGUAGCAAGGUUAACCGAAUAGGGGAGCCGAAGGGAAACCGAGUCUUAACUGGGCGUUAAGUUGCAGGGUAUAGACCCGAAACCCGGUGAUCUAGCCAUGGGCAGGUUGAAGGUUGGGUAACACUAACUGGAGGACCGAACCGACUAAUGUUGAAAAAUUAGCGGAUGACUUGUGGCUGGGGGUGAAAGGCCAAUCAAACCGGGAGAUAGCUGGUUCUCCCCGAAAGCUAUUUAGGUAGCGCCUCGUGAAUUCAUCUCCGGGGGUAGAGCACUGUUUCGGCAAGGGGGUCAUCCCGACUUACCAACCCGAUGCAAACUGCGAAUACCGGAGAAUGUUAUCACGGGAGACACACGGCGGGUGCUAACGUCCGUCGUGAAGAGGGAAACAACCCAGACCGCCAGCUAAGGUCCCAAAGUCAUGGUUAAGUGGGAAACGAUGUGGGAAGGCCCAGACAGCCAGGAUGUUGGCUUAGAAGCAGCCAUCAUUUAAAGAAAGCGUAAUAGCUCACUGGUCGAGUCGGCCUGCGCGGAAGAUGUAACGGGGCUAAACCAUGCACCGAAGCUGCGGCAGCGACACUGUGUGUUGUUGGGUAGGGGAGCGUUCUGUAAGCCUGCGAAGGUGACCUGUGAGGGUUGCUGGAGGUAUCAGAAGUGCGAAUGCUGACAUAAGUAACGAUAAAGCGGGUGAAAAG
rnacentral:rRNA from 1 species